rnacentral:ncRNA from 1 species
AUUCAAGCUAUGAUUGGAAAUAGUAAAAGGAUCAGUAAACUAACAGAGAGCCAAUGGUUGGUGGGAAUUGGCAGUUAUUAUCCUUUUGAACUCGUCCAAGAGCUACUCCCCGAAAACCAAAGUAAGGGGAAUCGGCAUCCACCGUUAUCAGGAUAGGUAGUGUUCGCUACUGAUAGAGCUGGAUUAAUGAGUAAUUAAUCAAUUAGAGUGGUACCGCGAGUAAACCUCGUCUCUAUG